UAAAACUUUAACCCUAGAGAAACCCAACCAAAUCGGCGCCCCACUCCUUCCAGCUUCUGCCGCACCCCGCCCGCCGGAAACGUUAAUUUUCCGGCGUUCUACGUAAGUCCCGGUUCCCCAUGGUCCCCCCAUCAUUAUAACCCGAUUCACGCGUUUUCUUACUCAUAUCAUUUUGGAUUUUAUCCUUUUAGGAGAGAAUGGAAAAACGGGAGGCGUAGGAUCGAGUCACACUCGAUCUACCCCCUCCAUCUAUACUCUAUUGCCACUAAAAGACAUAAAAUCUGAUUUUUCUUCUUUUUUGGAUUUUUGGGUGAAUAUUUUCGUAUUUGUUUUGAGGUCCCCACACGAGAUUUCUUGGAGAACAAGAACUAGGAUCCCUAUAUAUCUGAGAUUUUCGGAUUGGAGGGGGGAGGAAAAAAUUGGAGAGAAUAGAAGCUAGGUUUUUCGGGGAUUUUUUGUUUGUUCUUCUAAUUUUAAUAGAGUUCUCUUUUGAGUGUUCUUUGGUUCUGUUUGGUUUCGUUUUCGUAUAAAAAAUCAAAAUAAGAAAAAUCAAUCUCUUCCAGUUUCAAUCUUACAUAAAGUCAGAAAUACAAAGAAAAAGGGUUAAGUUUCGUCUCUUGCUUCGGCCAAAUGUAGUUUAGAUUUGGAGUUGCCGUUCGAAGUCGAGUCAGUGGUUCAUGCUCGAUCUAGCUGCUGCAUUUUUGAAGUGCGACACGCCGGUUCUAUUUGAGUUUCUAGUAUAAUUGUGGCUUAUUAACAUCUCUGUAAUUACCGGAAUUUUGAUUAAAGGUUCGUUCAUUCUCUUCCUAUUUUCAGAUUUUGGGUUGGAUUUACACCUGAUUUGAGCCUUAAUUAAUUGGUAUUCGGGAACACCGAACUUAUUUGGUUCUUAAUUGAGUAUUAGCAGAAGUUUGUUGAAAUUAUAUAAAUUGAUCAAAAAUAAUUGAAAUAGAUUAGUUUUAUAAAUAAAAGUCAAAAAUGGUAUUCAAGAACAUUGGUUUUCUUGCAUGAUAAAAUUGAUUUGUAUAAGUUUGAAUUUUCUUACAUGCCAUGUUUGAUUAUUUUUGUAUGGCAACGUUAAAUUUUUGGUGUAUGGUUUUAGUAUAAAUAGGUUGUACAAACUCAUUUGUAAAAUCAUCGCAAAACUUGUAUUAGAAAUUACAAGUGUAGUAUUGUAAGCUUUGAGUUUGAGUUAGUAAAUAUAUUUUUCUUUCUCGGACUUUCAUUUUUCGGUUUCAAAUCCCAAAGUUUAUUUCCGAGGAUUCAUUAUUUUUUUUGAUUUCUACAUUUGGUAUCAGAGCAAGGUUGAGUGUUGUGAGAAUGAAAAAUAUUGAAUCAUAUCGUCUAGUAACACGAUUCAAUUUCAGCUUCCAAGACUCACCUGGAAAAAUUACAACAAUUGGUCAAUCCAAUUGAAGGUAUUUUAGCACUUAUAUACUAAAAAAAUUUCUCUUUUCACUGUAGCGUGCGUGAAGUGCAUUUCCGUCACUAUUCUCACCGGAAUUCGGUGGCGAAUUAUUACAAUUUGGUGUCUCGACACUCUCCUUCGUGAGGUGAACACCUUCCUCUUAUUGUUUUUCUAAAAUCAUAAUCCAAACGCAACAGAUCUUAAAUUUUGCGUUUCUUACUGUUCAUUCAAAUUCUGGUUCGUUCUGUUGAAUCUCUCGGCUUGCUAACUAAUUUUUUGGAUUCGAAUCUAUAUACAUCUACAAUCAUACGACCUCCAGAUCGUUUGUUCACAACAUUUCUUUCGUUUGUACAAAAUAAUGUAUGAUCUCGUGUCUCAUUGGUAGUAUCUUGAAGAGUUCACGCGAUUUUGGCAGCCAUGU
rnacentral:lncRNA from 1 species